AUUGAACGCUGGCGGCAGGCCUAACACAUGCAAGUCGAACGAGUGGCGGACGGGUGAGUAAUGUCUGGGAAACUGCCUGAUGGAGGGGGAUAACUACUGGAAACGGUAGCUAAUACCGCAUACCAUCGGAUGUGCCCAGAUGGGAUUAGCUAGUAGGUGGGGUAACGGCUCACCUAGGCGACGAUCCCGAGCUGGUCUGAGAGGAUGAACAGUCACAAUGGAAAGGAGACACGGCCCAGACUCCUACGGGAGGCAGCAGUGGGGAAUAUUGCACAAUGGGCGCAAGCCUGAUGCAGCCAUGCGGCGUGUAUGAAGAAGGCCUGCGGGUUGUAAAGUACUUUCAGCGGGGAGGCGUUACUCGCAGAAGAAGCACCGGCUAACUCCGUGCCAGCAGCCGCGGUAAUUC
rnacentral:rRNA from 1 species